rnacentral:rRNA from 1 species
GUGUCAGCAGCCGCGGUAAUACGUAGGGUCCAAGCGUUAAUCGGAAUUACUGGGCGUAAAGCGUGCGCAGGCGGUUUUAUAAGCCAGAUGUGAAAUCCCCGGGCUUAACCUGGGAAUGGCAUUUGGGACUGUAAGGCUAGAGUACGGCAGAGGGGACUAGAAUUCCUGGUGUAGCAGUGAAAUGCGUAGAUAUCAGGAGGAAUACCGAUGGCGAAGGCAGGUCCCUGGGUCGAUACUGACGCUCAUGCACGAAAGCGUGGGGAGCAAACAGGAUUAGAAACCCCCGUAGUCC